UGAUGAAACCGCGAGUAGUGGAACCGCAAGCGUUAUUUACCUUUUCAUUCUUGUGUCGUUAGUUUGCUCCUAUGUUGAGUCUGGUGGUUUACUGUCAGACAUUGGUUGAUAUAGUACUAUUGCUUGGUUGAGUGACCUGUCAAGUGCAGGAUUCUAUUAGAGGCGUGUAAGCUGCUAUUUGUGCUCAAUAUUUAUCUGCAGGAUUCUCGUAUUAUCUGCCAAGUUUACAGUGUUCUGCUUUUGUUGGUUUGAUCUUAUAUGGUUUCGUUUUCUCAUUUAGAAUAUAACAUCUAUCUGUUGUCGACCAUAUAGUAAGCCAUUUAACUACACGUAAUCAGUAUAUAUCAUCACUUGCCAGUUGAUGUUUUCUUUCCAGGAAAUCACAAGAUGAAACGAAACAAUCACACUACGCGGCAGCAUAGAGGGCAAAAGCGCAGGGCGAAGUUUUUGGUUGUCUGUUCGCUGGCUAUAGUUAAGUGUGUGUGUGUCGAUAGAAAUAUUGCUUGGUUGAGUGACCUGUCUGGUGCAGCAUCACAUUCGUUUUGGUCCAUGGGACGUGUAAAACUGCCAUUUCUUUUACAGUAUUGGUCGUUGUUUAGUCACUUAUUUUCUAAGUAUUAUAUCCUGUCAUCUGUUUUACUGUAAUUUCC
rnacentral:lncRNA from 1 species